UUAGGGACAGUCUCACUGACCUACUUCACAGCAGGUGGGAGGUCUCCCCUCGUCUGUGGGGGACCGGCCUCUGGUGGUACAUGGGCCACUUGUCUGCGGUCACCUGAGCCUAGGAGAACAUCCCUGACUCCGAAACAAACGAGACACAGUCUAGGGACCCAUGUGCCUGGCAGUGGCCCUUGGCCUCCCUGUGCUCCCCCCACCUGCCCCUGUUGUUGGUGACAUGCCCGGGUGGUCUUCUGGCUUUGUAACACUGAACGGUUUUUGGUGGGACCGCAUCUUCCUGGGUGUGCAGCACCCAGCACGGCGCGGGUUUGGUUCUGAGUUGGGCCCUUAAGCGCUACUGUGUGAAUGCGUAACCCUGAUGGAUCAUUCCAGGCGAAUAAAAUGUCUAGUUCCCCAGGCCUCCUCAUAUACUGAAUAACAAUUGGCUCCACUGACUACUUGCUGCAAAUUUGAAAUGUGUGUUGAUCUCCUGCCUACUCCUCCCAACCAUGACACCUGCUUGUACUAGGUUAUUUUGUUUACCGAUCCUGUAUUGAGUCUAUUGGGUUGCAGGAAUUACCAUACUGGGUGAGACCAGUAGUUUGUCUAGUCUGGUAUCCUGUCUCUGACUGUGGCCAAUACCUGAAGCUUCAGAGAAAAGUGAAAAAACUCAUACAAUGGACAAUUCUGCAGUAACUUUCUCCUAGGGAGGUUUCCUGCUAACUCCAAGCAGUUAGGCCCAGAUCCACAAAGAUAUUUAGGCUCCUAACUUCCAUUGUGGAUCUGGACCUUAGUGACUGGCUUACAUCUUGAAGCAAGAUGCAGGAUUUUAUUCCUUAUAUACCUUUAUCCUAGCUAGUGUAACUGCACAAAAUAAAUCUGGAGCUUCACUGGUCAUUUUUUAUUUGUAGUGUGGUAGUACCUAAAGACCACAGCCCCAUCAUGCUGUAUAAACAUAACAAAGAGACAGUACCUACCCCAAAGAGAUUACAGCUGAAUAAAAGGAGAGAGAAUAGAUGGCUACUUUCUGAUUUUAUAAUUACAUUGUAAGUUCUGCAAAGUAGCCACAAGAUAACAGUGAGAUGAUACUAGUCAGACUACAUAAGCAGCAGUUGCAGCACCCCACCUGCCUAACCAUUAUCAAAUAUUUUGUAGGCAUCAUGGUAUAGGAGAGUUUUAAGAAGGGAUUUGAAGGAGGAAAAUGUGGUGGCUUUGUGGAUAUUUACAGGGAGCUCCUCACAUGGAUAAGGGGUAGCAUGGGAGAAAGCAGAAGAUGCUUGCUGGAAAAUUUUAUAAAUGGGCAUUCAAGACAGACUGACAUCAUUUGCAGAAUAGAGGCAGGGUUCAAUGUCUUGAUACAGUAUAAGAGAUAACAAGUAGGCUUUGAAGGGUCUUAAAAGUGAAGACAAGAAAAUGCUCUUUGCAGUAGCAUUUUGAAUGGCUAUAAAUUGGACAAGGUGGGAUUUGUCAAGACCAGAAAGGAGGAGGUUGGAGUAGUUGGGAUGAGAGAUGAUGAGGGUCUGGAUAAGAGUUUAGCUACAGGAAUGGAGAAGAAAGGCCAGAUUUUAGAGAUAUUCUGGAGGAAGAAACAGCAAAAUACAGCCUGGAUAUGUGGUCCCAGAGAGAGGACUGAUACAAAAGGCGACAAAUGUUUGUGGUUUACCAUAAAGAUAAGAGAUGUGUACUUGGUGAAGACUACAUCGAGUGACUGGCCAUUUUGGUGCAUGGGAAAAUUAAUCCCAGACUGCAGAUCAAAUGAGGAAGUGAGAGCAGAGACGUCGCAAUGCACUGUCCUAAAAUUUUCUCUGUAAACUUUGUCCAUUGGGAGCACAAAUUAAAGAUAAGACAUUGAGUUCACUCUCUUGCUGUGUUAUGCAAUAUGCUUAAUAAAUCUAUGCCAGGACUGUGCCAGUAGGGACAGCUAGGGCAGUUGUCCCAUGCUUUAUGGGAGCCAAGGCCUGGGAAUUUCCAGUGACUGGGACUGUCCAAUGCAGCACCAUGUCUGGUCAUGCCUGACGUAGAUGCUAAGGGAAGUCAGCAGUAGGAAGGUGCUUUGGAAUUAUUAUGGAGACAGUAUAAGGAGCCUGGACCUAGUAAAAGUCUGGGGCCAAAAAAGGGAAUGGCAAAAUAAGAAGCGGAUAUAAAGGAAAUUGAAAGAAAAUCAGGUGGACAAGUGGGAAUCAGUUACAAGUAGUGGGGGGGUGAAAGAAAAAUAAUGGAGAGGGGAGCAGAGGCAAGGGACCUUCUGGGGGGGGUGCAGCUCAGUGUUCAUGAGGUUGUGAGGGUUGAAACUUUAUUUCUAUAUCUAGUUCUGGGUCCUCUGAAUCUUUGCUGAUCCCAUAUCUUGGAGAUCUCUCUGGGACUGCCAUUUUGCAGCCUAAAAGCACUGGCCCAUUUUUGCCAUGUGAAGUAUCAUAUCCGGGUCACACUAGGAAAAAUAAGAAAUGUGAGAGCGGAGACAGAAAACACAGAAGGCUCCUGAAUGAUCCCACCAUGCAUGUUUUUUCAUUGCUGUGGUGACUACCCAUUUGUUUAUACAGUCUAAAAUUAUGGAGAUUCAUUACUUCUUCUCUGUGUGAAGUAUUCUGUUACAUUGUCAGAAAUAUUCUAUUGUGCUCAGUUCUUCUACCACCUCUCAGACUUGUAUAGCAAGGCCCUUAUUCCGGUCUUUGUCAGUCAUGGCAAAAGGACUUAUUGUAUGUAAUGGAAUAUCAAAUCCUUCAGCAUCCAGAUAUAGCGGAAGUGGCACUACAGAUUCACAGACAGGAUCCACCCAACUCCACAGAAAGGGCCUAUAUUGAAUUUAUCUGUAUGCUAUACAUCUGUGAUGUGAGUGAAACUCAUUGUGGCAAAAGAGCUGGAAUGCUUGAUGGUGAAAUAUCUUACAGGUUAUGAGAGUGCCUUCUUCUCCUUAAAGUAUGCUUUGAGUCUUGGAAAGGUAUUCUUCAAGAGAUGGAACACAAACAGCUGGGGUUAUUACACGAAAGAUAUGGCAAGAAUUAAAGAGUUAUAAAUUGGGCUGGGGAAAGCAGGGAGCUGUCGAGGGGGAGGGAAGACUUAAAUAUUAUUUCUCUAACAAAAGUUUUAUAUUCAGUUCUUAAUAUAUUUAGUUCUUAAUUGCUGUGCAAGCAUAGAAGCUUGUGCUUCCUCUCUGCAAAUCAUAAAAGGCCCUGUGUUUGGAAUAUUGCCAUAAAUCCUUGGAGUUUACAUUUUCUUAGGAGUCCUCUGUUUUCUUUUCUCUUCUGCAGCACAAGAUGUCAAAUGCACUCUUCCCUACAAAUAGCUGUGAUGGAGAGAGAAGAAAGAGCAUCAGUAUCUUUCUUGUUCUCUUUGGGAGAAGGGAAGAGGGAAUGGUUUGUGUUAUUCUCUUUUAUUUUGGAUGUCUGUAGAAAAUGAUCUGAGCUGUUCCAGUACAUUCUGUUAAUGAAUGCUGGUAGUGAUCACAAGAGAAGGUUCUUUCGUUUUAGAGAACCAUUAAGAAACCCAAUACAUUACAUUAAGAUUUUCUUAUUUUUUACUUGUACAUGUUGCAGCAUCUGAACUUUUCAACCACCAGUGAUGACCUCCCACACACCCAGGUCUUUGCUGCUUGUGAGUUAUACAAUCAUUUUAACUUUUGGUACAAUAU